rnacentral:rRNA from 1 species
UACGGAGGGGGCGAGCGUUAUUCGGAAUUAUUGGGCGUAAAGAGCGCGUAGGCGGUCCGGUAAGUCCGCUCUGAAAGUCCGGGGCUCAACCCCGGGAGGCGGGCGGAUACUGUCGGGCUAGAGUCCGGAAGAGGCGAGUGGAAUUCCUGGUGUAGCGGUGAAAUGCGCAGAUAUCAGGAGGAACACCAAUGGCGAAGGCAGCUCGCUGGGACGGUACUGACGCUGAGGCGCGAAAGCGUGGGGAGCAAACAGG